rnacentral:rRNA from 1 species
CCUACGGGUGGCAGCAGUGAGGAAUAUUGGUCAAUGGACGAAAGUCUGAACCAGCCAAGCAGCGUGAAGGAAGACGGCUCUAUGGGUUGUAAACUGCUUUUAUACGGGAGUAAAAUGGACUACGUGUGUGAAUUUGUAAGUACCGUACGAAUAAGGAUCGGCUAACUCCGUGCCAGCAGCCGCGGUAAUACGGAGGAUCCGAGCGUUAUACGGAUUUAUUGGGUUUAAAGGGAGCGCAGGUGGAUUGUUAAGUCAGUUGUGAAAAUUUGCGGCUCAACCGUAAAAUUGCAGUUGAAACUGGCAUUCUUGAGUACAGUAGAGGUAGGCGGAAUUCGUGGUGUAGCGCGGAAAUGCUUAGAGAUCACGAAGAACACCGAUUGCGAAGGCAGCUCACUCCACUGCAACUGACACUGAGGCUCGCAAGUGUGGGUAUCACACAGGAUUAGAUACCCUCGUAGUC